AAUACGGAGGAUGCGAGCGUUAUCCGGAUUUAUUGGGUUUAAAGGGUGCGUAGGCUGUUAUAUAAGUCAGUGGUGAAAUAUUCGGGCUCAACCGGGAUACUGCCAUUGAUACUGUAUAGCUGGAAUAUGGUUGCUGUGGGUGGAAUGUGUGGUGUAGCGGUGAAAUGCAUAGAUAUCACACAGAAUAUCGAUUGCGAAGGCAACUCACAAAGCCAUUAUUGACGCUGAUGCACGAAAGUGUGGGGAUCAAACAGGAUUAGAUACCCUGGUAGUCCACACUGUAAACGAUGAUAACUAGCUGUCGGCGAUAGAUAGUCGGUGGCUAAGCGAAAGCGAUAAGUUAUCCACCUGGGGAGUACGACCGCAAGGUUGAAACUCAAAGGAAUUGACGGGGGCCCGCACAAGCGGAGGAACAUGUGGUUUAAUUCGAUGAUACGCGAGGAACCUUACCCGGGCUCGAACGGUGCAGGAAUAUGGUAGAGAUAUCAUAGCUAGCAAUAGUCUGUAUCGAGGUGCUGCAUGGUUGUCGUCAGCUCGUGCCGUGAGGUGUCGGCUUAAGUGCCAUAACGAGCGCAACCCUUGUCGUUAGUUACCAUCAAGUAAAGUUGGGGACUCUAGCGAGACUGCCACCGUAAGGUGUGAGGAAGGGGGGGAUGACGUCGAAUCAGCACGGCCCUUACGUCCGGGGCGACACACGUGUUACAAUGGUAGGUACAGAGGGGCGCUAUCCAGUGAUGGAGUGCGAAUCUCAAAAACCUAUCUCAGUUCGGAUUGGNNUCUGCAACUCGACUCCAUGAAGUUGGAUUCGCUAGUAAUCGCGCAUCAGCCAUGGCGCGGUGAAUACGUUCCCGGGNCUUGUACACACCGCCCGUCAAGCCAUGGAAGCCGGGGGUGCCUGAA
rnacentral:rRNA from 1 species